rnacentral:rRNA from 1 species
GGGCAGACUAGAGUGAUGUAGGGGAGACUGGAAUUCCUGGUGUAGCGGUGAAAUGCGCAGAUAUCAGGAGGAACACCGAUGGCGAAGGCAGGUCUCUGGGCAUUAACUGACGCUGAGGAGCGAAAGCAUGGGGAGCGAACAGGAUUAGAUACCCUGGUAGUCCAUGCCGUAAACGUUGGGCACUAGGUGUGGGGGACAUUCCACGUUUUCCGUACCGUAGCUAACGCAUUAAGUGCCCCGCCUGGGGAGUACGGCCGCAAGGCUAAAACUCAAAGGAAUUGACGGGGGCCCGCACAAGCGGCGGAGCAUGCGGAUUAAUUCGAUGCAACGCGAAGAACCUUACCAAGGCUUGACAUGAACCGGAAAUACCUGGAAACAGGUGCCCCGCUUGCGGUCGGUUUACAGGUGGUGCAUGGUUGUCGUCAGCUCGUGUCGUGAGAUGUUGGGUUAAGUCCCGCAACGAGCGCAACCCUCGUUCUAUGUUGCCAGCGCGUGAUGGCGGGGACUCAUAGGAGACUGCCGGGGUCAACUCGGAGGAAGGUGGGGACGACGUCAAAUCAUCAUGCCCCUUAUGUCUUGGGCUUCACGCAUGCUACAAUGGCCGGUACAAAGGGUUGCGAUACUGUGAGGUGGAGCUAAUCCCAAAAAGCCGGUCUCAGUUCGGAUUGGGGUCUGCAACUCGACCCCAUGAAGUCGGAGUCGCUAGUAAUCGCAGAUCAGCAACGCUGCGGUGAAUACGUUCCCGGGCCUUGUACACACCGCCCGUCAAGUCACGAAAGUUGGUAACACCCGAAGCCGGUGGCCUAACCCCUUGUGGGAGGGAGCUGUCGAAGGUGGGACUGGCGAUUGGGACUAAGUCGUAACAAGGUAACC